rnacentral:misc_RNA from 1 species
AAGCCAACAACCAGCAUGGAGCAACAAGUUACAAAAAAAUUCUCUCCAAUGUGCAUGGUGAGACUGAUCAAAUAAGCAGUUGUUGCUCCCUGGGUAACUGGUCAUUACUUGAAUUAUGAAGACAUGAGACAAAUAAAAUAGCAGGAAAAUCAAUUUCUUCUAAAACCAUCCAGUGACACUUAUUGGAAGAUAUAAAUAUUAAUUGUAUCCUUGCAAAGAUUU